CACUUUCUUCUUGUUGGCUCUUCUCCCUGC
rnacentral:piRNA from 1 species